rnacentral:tRNA from 1 species
GCCGAGGUGGUGGAAUUGGCAGACACGCUAGCUUGAGGGGCUAGUGACCGCAUAGGUUGUGCGGGUUCGAGUCCCGCCCUCGGCACCA